CCUACGGGGCGCAGCAGUGGGGAAUAUUGGACAAUGGGCGAAAGCCUGAUCCAGCCAUGCCGCGUGUGUGAAGAAGGCCUUCGGGUUGUAAAGCACUUUCAGUGGGGAAGAAAGCCUUGGGGCUAAUACCCUCGAGGAAGGACAUCACCCACAGAAGAAGCACCGGCUAACUCCGUGCCAGCAGCCGCGGUAAUACGGAGGGUGCGAGCGUUAAUCGGAAUUACUGGGCGUAAAGCGCGCGUAGGCGGUCUGAUAAGCCGGUUGUGAAAGCCCCGGGCUCAACCUGGGAACGGCAUCCGGAACUGUCAGGCUAGAGUGCAGGAGAGGAAGGUAGAAUUCCCGGUGUAGCAGUGAAAUGCGUAGAGAUCGGGAGGAAUACCAGUGGCGAAGGUGGCCUUCUGGACUGACACUGACGCUGAGGUGCGAAAGCGUGGGUAGCAAACAGGAUUAGAUACCCCGGUAGUC
rnacentral:rRNA from 1 species